rnacentral:rRNA from 1 species
AUUGAACGCUGGCGGCAGGCCUAACACAUGCAAGUCGAACGAGUGGCGGACGGGUGAGCAAUGAAUGGGCAACGGCCUGAUGGAUGGGGACAAAUACCGGAAACGGUAGCCAAUACCGCAUACCAUCGGAUGUGCCCAGGUGGGAUUAGCUAGUAGGGGGGGUAAAGGCUCACCACGGCGACGAUCCCUACCUGGUCUGAGAGGAUGAACAGCCACACUGGAACUGAGACACGGUCCAGACUCCUACGGGAGGCAACAGUGGGGAAUAUUGCACAAUGGGCGCAAGCCUGAUGCAGCCAUGCCGCGUGUAUGAAGAAGGCCUUCGGAUUGUAAAGUACUUUAAGCGGGGAGGCGUUACCCGCAGAAGAAGCACCGGCUAACUCCGUGCCAGCCGCCGCGGUAAUUC